GUACGGCGAGUGAGCGGCAAAAGCUCAAAUUUGAAAUCUGGUACCUUCGGUGCCCGAGUUGUAAUUUGGAGAGGGCAACUUUGGGGCCGUUCCUUGUCUAUGUUCCUUGGAACAGGACGUCAUAGAGGGUGAGAAUCCCGUGUGGCGAGGAGUGCGGUUCUUUGUAAAGUGCCCUCGAAGAGUCGAGUUGUUUGGGAAUGCAGCUCUAAGUGGGUGGUAAAUUCCAUCUAAAGCUAAAUAUUGGCGAGAGACCGAUAGCGAACAAGUACAGUGAUGGAAAGAUGAAAAGAACUUUGAAAAGAGAGUGAAAAAGUACGUGAAAUUGUUGAAAGGGAAGGGCAUUUGAUCAGACAUGGUGUUUUGUGCCCUCUGCUCCUUGUGGGUAGGGGAAUCUCGCAUUUCACUGGGCCAGCAUCAGUUUUGGUGGCAGGAUAAAUCCAUAGGAAUGUAGCUUGCCUCGGUAAGUAUUAUAGCCUGUUGGGAAUACUGCCAGCUGGGACUGAGGACUGCGACGUAAGUCAAGGAUGCUGGCAUAAUGGUUAUAUGCCGCCCGUCUUGA
rnacentral:rRNA from 1 species